rnacentral:rRNA from 1 species
UACGUAGGGCGCGAGCGUUGUCCGGAAUUAUUGGGCGUAAGGAGCUCGUAGGCGGCUUGUCACGUCGGGUGUGAAAGACCGGGGCUUAACUCCGGUUCUGCAUUCGAUACGGGCUAGCUAGAGUGUGGUAGGGGAGAUCGGAAUUCCUGGUGUAGCGGUGAAAUGCGCAGAUAUCAGGAGGAACACCGGUGGCGAAGGCGGAUCUCUGGGCCAUUACUGACGCUGAGGAGCGAAAGCGUGGGGAGCGAACAGG